UCCCUUGUGGCUCAGCUGGUAGAGAAUCUGCCUGCAAUGCAGGAGACCUGGGUUCGAUCCCUGGGUUGGGAA
rnacentral:tRNA from 1 species